rnacentral:rRNA from 1 species
CCUACGGGAUGCAGCAGUGAGGAAUAUUGGUCAAUGGACGAGAGUCUGAACCAGCCAAGUAGCGUGAAGGAUGACUGCCCUAUGGGUUGUAAACUUCUUUUAUAUGGGAAUAAAAUGUUCCACGUGUGGGAUUUUGUAUAUACCAUAUGAAUAAGGAUCGGCUAACUCCGUGCCAGCAGCCGCGGUAAUACGGGGGAUCCGAGCGUUAUCCGGAUUUAUUGGGUUUAAAGGGCGCGUAGGUGGAUUGUUAAGUCAGUUGUGAAAGUUUGCGGCUCAACCGUAAAAUUGCAGUUGAAACUGGCAGUCUGGAGUACAGUAGAGGUGGGCGGAAUUCGUGGUGUAGCGGUGAAAUGCUUAGAUAUCACGAAGAACUCCGAUUGCGAAGGCAGCUCACUGGACUGCAACUGACACUGAGGCUCGAAAGUGUGGGUAUCAAACAGGAUUAGAUACCCCGGUAGUC